rnacentral:piRNA from 1 species
UUGAAGUCAUUAGUUCUCCCCUGGGGACCAAG